rnacentral:sRNA from 1 species
GUCAGGUGUGGUGGCUCACACCUGUAAUCCCAGUACUUUGGGAGGCUGAGGCAGGAGGAUUGCUCGAGCCUAGGAGUUCAAGAUUGGUCUAGGCAACAUGGCAAAAGCCCAUCUCUACAAAAAAUAAAAAAUUUGCUGGGCGUGGUGGCACAUGCCUGUAGUCCCAGCUACUUAGGAGGCUGAGGUGGGAGGAUCGAUUGAGCCAGGGAGUUUCAGGCUGCAGUGAGCCAUGAUCAUGUCUCUGCACUCCAGCCUGGGCAACAGAGCAAGACCCUGUCUCA